AGGUAAGGUGGCCGAGAGGUAGGCGGUGGUCUGUAGUUCCACUUACGGAGGUUUAAGUCCUCUUCUUAUCA
rnacentral:tRNA from 1 species